rnacentral:lncRNA from 1 species
UCCUCCAAACUUCAAACCCAUUUAUUAGUAACCUCUGAUUGUGUUGAUGAUGGUGUUGUGCCAUGGAUCUGAUAGAUGCUGCAACAGGUUCUCAAAUGGCCCCUUCCCAGUCACAUUGUGUUGAACUACAAACCCCAAGAAUGCCAACAUUGCCAAUCUCCCUGCACAUUCAAACGCCAAAAAAUUAAGCCACGUUCUUUACAUGAACAUCAUGUGUGUGUGUGUGUGUGUGUGUGCAUGCAUACCAUUGGCAAGCUCCUUUUCCUUGGCUUCAAGUGUCGGGGCAAAGUUGAGGGGGUUGAAAAUGCUACCAGGGUAACCACACUCAUGAGGGGGCAAGCUGUAUUGCUUGAAGAUAGGGUCCUGGUUCACACAACCAGGGUUCUUGAUGUCUUGCCACCUUCUGAUCUCCACAUAGUGGAACAAAAUGAACUCGAUAACAAACAAGGUCGAGGACGAUGCGAAGUAUUCGGCUUUACCGGCAUCAUACCAUUGAGGAGCGUUAAUUAUCCCAAUCUUAGUGAAAACUUCGGGCAGAAGCAUCCCUGCAACACCCAACAUAGCCCAACGUCCAUUCACGAGCUCAGCUUGUACAUACCAUCUUAAGUUCUCAGGGUCCUCAGCCAAUCCAAGAGGAUCAAAGCCAUUAUCACCUGGAAGA